AUGAGAGGGGUGCAGAGAGAGAGAGAUCUUCAGAGCUUGUUUUUGGAUCGGUUUUUAAUGAUCCUUCUCCGAACUGGUUUUGAUUUGGCCACUUUGAUACAGGCAGCUGUGGAUUUGAACAUUAUGCCAAACAACAACUUGCUGCUCAUCAGCGCACUCUUCAAACAAUACAGAAGUGUCACAUUGACAGCAUAUUUACUGAGAGUAAAUUUCUGCAAGCUAAAUCUCUCAAACAACUUGCAAAAGCGCUCAUUUAGGCCACAGGUCAACCUCAAAAAGUGA